rnacentral:lncRNA from 1 species
AAUAUCUGAGAUAUUCUAGUUAAUAUAUAUUAUAUAUAUGUAAGUAAUGAUUAUUAUUAAUAUUUUAUAUUAUAUUAUAUUAUAUUAUAUAUAUAUAUGACAAAGAAAGAAAGAAAAGAAACAGAGAGCAAAACAAAACAAAACAGAGAAGGGAGAAAGAAAGAAACAGAGAGCAAAACGAAACAGAGAAGGAAGGAAGGAAAGAAAGAAAGAAAAGAAAAGAAAAAGGGAAAUUUAGGGUUUUAAGGUUCAAAGUAAUUUGGUAAGUCAAUUUAAUCCCCUUUUCUCUUAAUUUUGAUAUUUUUUUUUGAAAUCCUAGAAUAAAAUACUACUUGAUUUAAGUUGAAAUUUUGAAAGUUAGUAGAUUAUUAAGCAUGGUUCAUGUUGAAUAAAUUGUUAAAUUAGGGAUGUAUUUGAUAGAAAUUUUGAUUGGAAUUGAAUAAAGGAUUGAAUUGUAAACUAAACUAUAAGUUUUGAAUUUUAGGGAUUAAUUUGAAAUAAAUUCGGAAUUAUGAAAACAUGAUAAAAAUUAAAUAGUUAAAUAUGAGUUUAGCAAGAAAUUGGGUAGAAUAAGGGUAUGAAUUGAGAAAGAAAAAUAUAUAGGUUUAGUUAGGGGUUAAAUUGAUUUAAUUUCAAGUUAGAAGUUAGUAAAGAAUGUAAUUGUAAAAUAAAAUAUAAGUUUUGAAUCGAUAGGGAUUAAAUUGAAAGAAUCCCGAAAUUAGGGAUUUAUGGUGAAAUUGAGGAAUUAAAUUGACUUUAUAGUAAGAAUUAAGAGAGAAUAUAGAGUUAGAUUGGGAAAAAUAAAAUUAGUAUUGGUAAGGGAUAAUUAUAAAGUUUAGGUAUAAAAGGAAAUAUUUUAAUGAAAUUGUGUAUUAAUGAUUUUUAAUUGUUUAAUUACGUAGCUAAUGUCGUGUACGAGUCAUUGUCCGAGAAAGGAAAGGAGAAAGUGGACAAGGAGUGACUCGAGAGAAAU